GGAAGCCCACACCGAGAAGCCCCGGAUCUCCUGCCGUGGAGUUCGAGAUCGACUCCUCACUGUAAACCCUCGCCCACCUCCACGUCCACCGGUGCCGGACUCCACUAACUUCCGUGCCAUGUACUUCUGGCUACAAAAGGGUGAUCGUGGUGGUUAUGUCCUCUGUUCUAUUGGCUGUGCGACCUCGCGGCGCUCUCUGACGCGAUCCCGCUCGAUCCAACCGGUUCCUUUGUGGAUGCAAAAAGUCUUGUAAUGCAUUGUGGUGCCUCCUUUGCUAUAGUAUGCUCAUCACACGUUUAGGUGGAUGGUCUGACAGAUAGCACUUGACCAAGGACUGUGUCGUACUGGUAUCCUGUUGGACAUGAGACAUUCACAAGUUCAAAUAGACCAUGCUGUUCUGUUGCACAUUGUAAUUUUUCAUGUAGCACUUGUUCUUGUAUUUCUUUUACCUACAUGCCAUCAAUGUUCAAUGACUCGUAUGGUGAUGACUACUGCCCUCUGCCCAACUGUUCAAACAAGUUGUUCCUUUUGUUUUGUUAAGUUACGACUGACGCUGUCAUAUUGAUGUGAAGUACCUGUAGGCUACUUAAUGCUUUGGCUCGCAAGGUACCGCAAAUCUGACACAUACAUGUUUAGUCAAUUACUCCAUGUGACCAUGAACUUAGAUUUCAUUAUUGACUUCUUAAGUCACCUUGAUAUUUUUAAUGUACUGCCCGAUCUGGAUGCUCAUGCAAACUGUAUCCACUUGUUUAGUGUUAGGGCUCUGAAAACAUAUCAGCUUAGAUCUCUUUAUUAUUUGUUGUCAUUUUUAAGCACUACUAUCUCUGCAAAUAUGCAUAUUUUAUACUACAAAAUGAAACUUAUGCAGCCUUGAGUUGAUGGUUAUUUUAUUUUUACUGUAACUUUAAAUGCAAAAUGGCAUUUGUACCUGCAAAUUUUUCACAGUUUUUUCAUGAUUUAAAGUGACUGCAAUUUUGUCAAGAAGCUCAAAAGGUUGUAUCUGGAUACCCCCACCAUAACACUUGAGUUGGGAAUGAAUGAUUUAACUUUGAUCCCUAUAUCAUCUGAAGUAUUUUUAUGCUGAUCAUGAAAUUUAUCUAUCAAAUGGUGAAGAGAGAGCCUCUUAUAUUAUUAUUUAAAUUCUUCAACUCUAUGGUUGCUCUUUGGCCAACAAUUUAGUAGAUUUCUGUGUCCAUAUCUACUUCAAAGAGUAGUUGAUUGGAUUCCAUUCAGCCUCUUUUUCAUGCUUUCUCUACAUAUCUGUUUAUGAAUCUACAUACUUCAAGACAAAGGAUUAUGCAAUCAUUUAAGAAAAUCUUUGGAAUUAUUAUUAUUUUGUUGGUUUCUUCAAAUUUUGAAACUUGCCUAAAGCUAGACUAUUUGCUUCCCUACCAUUUACUAUUGUUGUAGUCAACUUGUCAUGCUCAAUGCCCAUACCAAAUCAUAGAAUUCACUAGAAUAGAAUCAUUGUUCUAUUUGGGUAACGAACAAGAAAAGGAAACAAAGAAGCUAAUCUACAAUUUCUUUUAUACACUUUCAGGGUGGAGUACAUGGAUCUACAGUUUCCCAUCUCAGAGGUGUUGGCUAGAACUCUUGUCCAUGGUACCAGCUUUCAUUAUUACUUCCUGUUUUGCGCAGUCCACAUGAACCCUUUUGUGAACCACUGCCACUCUUCUCAGGGAAAUAAGAGGAGCUAAAAGUGUACUUCCUUGAGCUGCAGAAUACAUCUCUUGCACACAACAACAAUAUCAUCAGGCAGAGUUGAAGAUAUCUGGACUGCAACUUCCUCUCCCGUGACUGCAACAAAACUGCAUCAUUCAUACUCCCCAGAGGAAGACGCAGAAACGUGGGUAGAAGAACCUGAUUAGUUGUGCAGUGGAUUUGGACCCUGAGGCACCAGUCUCUUGGAAACUCCAUAAACCGAGCUGAACUCCUCCUCCUCCUCCUCAUCAUGCUCUGCAGACGGAGAUAUCCUAGGGAAGUAACCCAUGGAUGAUGGUGUGGAGUACUCAUUCUUCCAUCUCUCCGCCCCUCUCAUGGCUGUUCUUGCAUGGCCGAGACUGGUAAGCUGCCCAGCAACCAUCAGUAGCAGUAGAAACAAGAUCAUGUGUGGCAGAGGGAAGUUGUGCAACCUCAUGGCCGCAGGAUGGGGAAGAGACUUGGAGACCAGAGCAGGUUGAAGAGGAGGGAGAGAGGGAAGCAGAAGGAGGUUGAAUUAUAGCCAAGCAGGAACAUGGGCAGGUGGAGAAGUCUAUUAAUAUGGGGGCCAACUCCAUUGGUGAGGAAAACGCUGUCAAAGCUCGGACCAAUUGACCAAAUCAUCCUUGUGACCGUCUUUAGCAGCCCCCUUCAUCUGUGCAUGGGAUCACAAGAUGUCAACAUGGAUAUGAGGAGGCUACUUGUGGCAUUCUCGGAUGGAUUUAAGGGUGUUGACUGUGUAAGAGGGGGUGGAGAUGCUCUGUCUUCCAUUUGGCAUCAUUUUGUCAUGAAGUGAUUACAAUAGAGUUAAGCAGUACCAAAUGAUUGCCAUUUCCAUCCAAUGUGCUUUGGAUUUCCAGUGAGAGAUAGAGAGAGACAGAGAGAUGGAUCCCUAUGGCAAUGUGACUUCUAAAUGUGUUGCCGCAAAUAAUUGAAGUUGGGAGAGUGGACCAAUGCAAGAGGCCAACGUAAGCUCCUAAUUAUAAUUAAGUUGCAGUACACUACAAAAUGUACCUAUGCAACCUAAAAAAUGUGAAUCUGGUUCAUUAUAAUUGACUUCUUGUGUCCUCUCUCUUUCUCUCUCUCUCUCUCUCUCUCUCCUCUUUGACUUGUUUGCUUUGCAUCAUGCGCGAGGGAUUUCCUCCUCGUUUUACUCAGAAUGCUGGGAUAAGUCAUUCUCUCCUCGA